CUAUAAAAGAUGUAACAGAUGCAAACUGUAACACAAGGGCCAUUAACCCUUUCUCUGCCAAGCACACUCAGUCCCCACGCCUCGCACCUAUUGUCUCUCCUGUGCUAGAAGCUUUGCAGAAAACCUGGAA
rnacentral:lncRNA from 1 species